rnacentral:rRNA from 1 species
CGCGUAGGUGGUUCAGCAAGUUGGAGGUGAAAUCCCGGGCUCAACCUGGGAACUGCCUCCAAAACUACUGAGCUAGAGUACGGUAGAGGGUAGUGGAAUUUCCUGUGUAGCGGUGAAAUGCGUAGAUAUAGGAAGGAACACCAGUGGCGAAGGCGACUACCUGGACUGAUACUGACACUGAGGUGCGAAAGCGUGGGGAGCAAACA